CAGGGUAGCAUACCGCUGACGACCGGCGCACGGGUGAGUAACACGUAUCCAACCUACCCCUUCACGGGGAUAGCCUUUCGAAAGAAAGAUUAAUACCCGCUCUUAUAGCGAUAAGGCAUCUUAUUGCUAUUAAAGAAUUUCGGUGUUUGAUGGGGAUGCGUUCCAUUAGAUUGUUGGUGAGGUAACGGCUCACCAAGUCUUCGAUGGAUAGGGGUUCUGAGAGGAAGGUCCCCCACAUUGGAACUGAGACACGGUCCAAACUCCUACGGGAGGCAGCAGUGAGGAAUAUUGGUCAAUGGACGAGAGUCUGAACCAGCCAAGUAGCGUGAAGGAUGAAGGCCCUAUGGGUCGUAAACUUCUUUUAUAGGGGAAUAAAGUGCGGAACGUGUUCCGCUUUGUAUGUACCCUACGAAUAAGGAUCGGCUAACUCCGUGCCAGCAGCCGCGGUAAUACGGAGGAUCCGAGCGUUAUCCGGAUUUAUUGGGCUUAAAGGGAGCGUAGGUGGACGUAUAAGUCAGUUGUGAAAGUUUGCGGCUCAACCGUAAAAUUGCAGUUGAUACUGUAUGUCUUGAGUGUACAAGAGGUGGGCGGAAUUCGUGGUGUAGCGGUGAAAUGCUUAGAUAUCACGAAGAACUCCGAUUGAAGGGCGAAUU
rnacentral:rRNA from 1 species